rnacentral:lncRNA from 1 species
UUUGUAGAUUAUUGCUCAUUUCCCUCAGGAUGCAUAUUAGAUUUUCAUUAUAUUUUGAAUAUUUUGCAGUGUGUUAUGAAUCUAGGUGUGGAUUGUUUUUCUUUAACUAUCUUGAAGAGCCUAGACUGCUCUUUUGAUAUCAGCUCUCAAAUAAUUUUGAUUAUUUCAGUGUUGAAAGUGAUCUCUUAAAAUAUUGUGUCUUCACCAUUUCUUCUAUUCUGGAGCUCUCAUCAAAUAUAUGUGGGAGAUUCUCAAUCUGUUUCCAUGUCUCUACAUUAUUUUACAUUUCUGGUUCAGCUCUAGCAGUAGCACCUGAAACAAUUCCUUAGCACUAGCUUCUGGUUCACUAUUUCACUAUGCAGCUGUGUCUAGUCUAAAAUCCCUCCCACAUACCUUUUUAAAACAGUUUUAUUUCUGAGAUUUUAACAGAUUUUUAUUUAUAUCUUGCUGCAUUUAGUUUUUCUGCUUUUUAAAUAUGUUAUUGUUCACAUUUUUUAUAGAAGCUAUUCCUUUCUAUAUCUUUUUUACAUUAUAUUUAUUUUUACAUAAAUAUAAUCAUUGCAAAUGUUUGUGCAACUAUUCCAAACAAAUUUAUCUGAAGUAAAUUUAAUAUUUUAUUUCUUAAUUUUGCUCUAUAUCUUCUUAUCAUGAAAGAUUCUAUGAAUUUUAAACAUUUUUGCAGGCUUGUGUUUGGAGUUUUUGUUUUCGCUCUUAUUUUAUUUUUCUUGUAUCUCUGUUUCAUUCUUCUUAUGAAAAUAUUUUGUAUUACUUCCACUUGGUUUUCCAUAUACUAGCUUAGAAACAGGCAAUUUUAGGAAUCCUAGUCCUUGCUCAUAUUUCUAGUUCAUAUUUCUAGUUCACUAGAAACAGUGUUUGAACAUAUUGUUUGAACAAUGUGCUUUGGUCAAUUCUAUUAAGCAAGUGGGAAGAUUGGUUCAUGUACGGACAUUAAAGUAAACCUUUUCCAGCUCCCUUACAAUGCCAAAAAUCUUCUAAAACUGAGAUUUCAUUUGUUUUUCUGUCAGAAGGCUAACCCCUCACCCAACUUCAAGUUGUGAGACUGGCUCUAGAGUCUUUAUCCAACAGGUGGUAAACCCUGCCGUUGCUGUGCCCAUAGCCACAUUCCAGUAACCAUUGCUAUCAACAUAUUUCCUGUUUUGUAUUUUUAAAGCAUUUUAUCUAUUAUUGUUUUGAGUUGAGGAUAUAGAAUGCACCAAAGCAUGAACUUAAUAUAGCAUUCUGACCAGAAUCUCCUUAUCUAACGUAUUAAAUUCAUUUAUUUCAUCUCUCCAGUUAAAACAAAAGCAGUGCCAGCUAACAUAAUAAGACAAGAAAAAGAAAGUGUAUACUGACUUGGAAGGAAAAAAUAAGUGUUUGUAGAUGACAUGAUUGUCUAUGUAGAAAAUUUGAAACAAUCAGUCAAAAAACUGGAACUAAUAGAAGGGCUGCAGGAUAUAAGGUUAAUAUACAAAAGGUCAACCACUUUCCUAUAUAACAGUAAAUGAACAAAUGGAAUUUGAAAUGUAAAAUGAAUACCUUUUAAAUUAGCACCUCUCAAAAUAAAAUACUAAAAUAUAUAUCUAACAAAAUACAAGAUCUAUAUGAGGAAAAUUGCAAAACUAAUGAAUGAAAUCAAAUAACUAAAUAAAUGUUCAUGGAUGGGAAAACUCUAUUAUCAAGCUGUCAGCUCUUCCCAACUUGAUCUACAGAUUCAAUGCAAUUCCAAUAAAAAUCUGAACAAGUUAUUCUCUGGUGAUCAACAAACUGAUUCUAAAGCUUAUGUGGAAAAUCAACAGACUAAAAAUAACCAACAAAGUAUUGAAGAAAAAUAAAGUUGAGGAACUGACACUACCCAAUUUUAAUACUUAUUUUAAGUUAUAGUAAUCAAGAUUAUGUGGCAUUGGCAACAGACAAAUAGAUCAAUGAAACAGAAUAGAAAAUCAACAAACAGACCCACAUAAAUAUAGUCAACUAAUCUUUGAUGAAGGAGGAAAGGCACAAUGGAGCAGAGAUUUUUUUUUUUAAACAAAUGGUGCUGGAUCAACUAGACAUUCACAUGCAAAACAAACCAAAAACAGACUUUAUAUGACCUGAAAGGUUGACUCAUAUUUAUAUUUAAAUGUAAAAUAUAAAACUAUAAAACUAGAAGAUGAUAUAGAAGAAAAUCUAGAUGACCUUUUGUUGGCAGUUACUUUUUCACCUCACAGGGAGUGUGUCUGUGUUAAAAAGUUUAGAAGGAGGAAAUAGCUCUUGGAAUUGUAUUCUGAAGAUUUAUUCAAGAAGGUCAGUGUUAGCAGGCUUCAUCCUCUGGGGGACUCAACAGCAGGUAAGUAGAGAAGGACUGGGGAUAACAGCUUCUUCUGGAGGAGAGAGAGCUUAAUGGAGAUUGGUGUAAAAUGCACCAGAAGCUCUUUUAUGUCAAACUUUCUUUGAGAUCCAGCUUUAUCAGUAAGCUUGUUGUGUCUGAAUAUAGGGUCUUCUUAUCCAUGCUUUGACCAUCACAGAAAACAAUUUCCUUCUUCAACCUUAUCAAGUUGGCUAUUUAUCACAACAGAACAAAGGCCUCUUAAAAUUAAUGUUGAGAUUGUCAGUCAUGACAAUUCCCCACUAUAAUUGCCGACAUACCAACAGUAGUGUCAAUCAUGGUUGCAAUGGUACGUCCAUGAAGGAAUCCAAGUGCUCUUGCAGAUAAGGACCUCCUUAAAAUAUGCAAAAUAUCCUUUCUUCAUCAUGAUUAUGGAAUACCACAUAUGCAAGGCCCAGGCUUUCCUUAAUCUUCUGGGGAAGCGCUGGGCCUAUGACAUUUGUUAUUUUACAGGCUUUGUGUCACAAAAAAAGGUUUUAGAGUCUUAAAUACUUCAAGCUGACUUACAUUUAUGUGAAGACAAAUGUUUCUAGGAGCCAUCUUCACAUUUCUUCAUGAACUGACCAAAGAAGAGCCUCAUAUCCUUGCUCCAACUGGGAUUGUUGGAUAAUGGUCCCUAUUGAUGAUCCGAGAAGAAAAUGGUCUUUGCACAGCUGCAUGGUCCCUCACCAUCAGGGGCACACCUCCCUGUAAGUGAGUAGGGCCCUUCCCCCAACCCCACUUCCACUUCUGGGGCAAAUGCAGUU